GCGGAAGUAGCUCAGUUGGUAGAGCAUCAGCCUUCCAAGCUGAGGGUUGCGAGUUCGAGUCUCGUUUCCCGCUCCA
rnacentral:tRNA from 1 species